rnacentral:rRNA from 1 species
UACGAAGGGGGCUAGCGUUGCUCGGAAUCACUGGGCGUAAAGCGCACGUAGGCGGAUUGCUAAGUCAGGGGUGAAGUCCUGGAGCUCAACUCCAGAACUGCCUUUGAUACUGGCAACCUUGAGUCCGGGAGAGGUGAGUGGAACUGCGAGUGUAGAGGUGAAAUUCGUAGAUAUUCGCAAGAACACCAGUGGCGAAGGCGGCUCACUGGCCCGGUACUGACGCUGAGGUGCGAAAGCGUGGGGAGCAAACAGG